UACGGAGGGUGCAAGCGUUAAUCGGAAUAACUGGGCGUAAAGGGCACGCAGGCGGUCUUUUAAGUCGGAUGUGAAAUCCCCGGGCUGAACCUGGGAACAGCAUUUGAGACUGGCAGGCUAGAGUACUUUAGGGAGGGGUAGAAUUCCAGGUGUAGCGGUGAAAUGCGUAGAGAUGUGGAGGAAUACCGAAGGCGAAGGCGGCCCCUUGGGAAUGUACUGACGCUCAUGUGCGAAAGCGUGGGGAGCAAACAGG
rnacentral:rRNA from 1 species